rnacentral:lncRNA from 1 species
AUUCCAGUAAUAUAAGAGUAACUGCAAGAGGGAGGCUGCUUGGUCCAGAACUUCUCAGUGUAUACCCCAGGGCUGUAUGCCUCAUUGGAGGCUGCAGACAGCUGGCACAAGAGUGGGAGGCACUUCUCUGGGGAUACAUGAGCACGUCCAAGGGCUCAGAAGGGAGAGCCUGGUGUUUGACGCUCCCUGUUGGAAACAGUUUACUGACCUUCCUUCCCCAGCUUACACGGACAAGGGCAUCUGCCUACAUCAUCUCCUGUGGGAAGCCGUUGCAGAGUGGCAGUUGCAGAAUGGCAGUUGGCUACUGCUGGCCACCACACAUACAUAGGCAGUGAAGGUUCUUUUGCCAAGACAAGUUAACCAAUCAGAUGUGAGACACGCCUCUCCUAGGCCUAUGUAAGCAGCACCAGUUCUGGGCUCAGGGUCUUUUCGCCUCUACAAUCAAGCUCUCCCAAUAAACGUGUGCAGAAGGA